GCCUGGGUGGCUCAGUCAGUUGAGCAUCCGACUUGAGCUCAGAUCAUGAUCUGUCAGUGAGUUCAAGUCCUGCUCAGGCU
rnacentral:tRNA from 1 species